rnacentral:lncRNA from 1 species
UUAAAUUGUCGCUUUUGAGAUUUAUUGUCGAAAUGAGAGCGAUUGUCGGUUAGGCUUGCCUAGCAUUAUGGUUGGGCACCAUUAUGAUCGGGUUUGGAUUGUGACAAGUUGGUACUAGAGCCUAGGUUACUAGGCCUCGUGAGUCAUGAGCCGGUUUAAUAGAGUGUCGCAGAUCGGUAUAUAGACGUCCGUAUCUAUCCUCAGGAGGCUACAGAACCUUAGGAAACACUUCACUGUCUUGAAAUCUUAUCAUGUAUCCUUGAUUCAGCUUGAAAGAGUAACUAUUGAAAUUCCUUCCGCGUGAACAUAUGCACGAACGGGCGCUCAGUAUUAGAUGUGCCUUGAUCGAUUGUUCCUCGAUUGAGGGGCGAGACGUGAUUUCUUUGAGUUUGAUGUUAGGCCAGUCUGGAGGACUUGAGGCCAGAUCUUUGCCAAUGGCUUGAGCACCGAGGUGCUGAUUGGGCGAGCAAGUGUUUUGAACUUAUAUGUCCAGUAUUGUCCCUAUUAUGGGAAUGAUGGUUGGAUAGCUACGUGAGGAGUAUGUUAGUACUGCGAGAUGUAUCUAUAUGACUUGGAAGUGACGAGGAUACGAGCUAGUGUUAUGAACUAAUAUGUUCAGUAUUAUCCCUAAUAGUGGGAAUGACGGACAGAUAGCUACAUGAUGAGUAUGUUGGCGCUGUGUGAUGUGUCUAUAUGACUUGGAAGUGCCGGAGAAGGUCUACUUAGUAAUAGAUGAACCACUAAGUGUUUGAUUCCCAUUGCGAUUAGAUGUGUUUCCCCGAGUUGUGGGUGCGUGAAGAAUCUUUUCCAUUCUCCUAGUUGGGAGCGAAGUAAAUAGCAUGUUGUGGGUUGACUUCAGACCCAGGAAGAUUAAAUGACCGUGUGGAAUAUAUGAUGAAGGAAGGCAAAAUGAAAUACUGAAUUGAGGCGAAACAGGUAGGAUAUCUCCUGCGGAGUGUCCUUAAGUGGUAUGAUCCUUAUGUGUAUGUUAGAAGAUCUCAUGUGUAAUUGAAAAGUAUUUUGUAUGUGCUAUGAUUUCGAAUAGGUGUAAUGCAUGUUCAUGUAUCAAUUUUGAUAAUAGAAUACAUGUAUUAUUGAGAUUAAUGUUGUUGAUAUACAUUGUGAUGCUUUGUCAAGUUGUGGACAUGUUGUUAGGAUAGUUUUGGUGAUUCUCUGGCAGGUGGAUAGGCCCAAUUACAAAGAAAACUCUGCAAAAUUUUUUGAAAACUUUGGGACUUAGUAAAAAAUUUUGUCGCCUACAGAGUGGGCUUAAUUGUUGUGUGAAUGAAUGCAUGAAUUGCAGAAGAGUUAAAAAUU